AAAAGGAAGGCGCUGUGACCAUCACUCAAGGAGACCCCAUCGCUCUCAAAUGUGCCUAUGACUUUUCUUACACAGUUGAGCAAUCCUGAUCCAGGAAUAUGUCUCUCCUUUGGGCCCUGGCUGUGUCCAUCAUCAUCUCAGUCUUAAAAAGGAGCAUUGGACUGUCAGUGACCCAAAAAGAAGAGACUGUGACCAACACCCAAGGAGCCAGUAUCUCUCUCAGUUGUGAUUAUGAUUCGGCUGACUAUCUGUUCUGGUACAUUCAGCAUCCCAGCCAACCUCCCAGGGUCUUUCUGAGUAAUUAUGGAGGAGGUCCCACCUCCGGUGAGGGGCUCAAUCAAGGAUUUGUUGCCAAGCUUGAGAAAAAGAAGAAAACCUUCAACCUGGAGAAAUCUGCCAGCCAGCUGAAUGACUCUGCUGUCUACUUCUGUGCAGGCAGUGACACAGUGAACUGAGUCAGUACAGAAGCAGAGCAAAAACUUACAAGGGGAAAUAAGCAGCAGAUCUGCCGAUUCACCAUCUUUGCAGGGACCAAGACCUGUGAUAU